ACCUAAGAAUGUCAUCAGACAGCAUCUGAGACCUGGAGCAGAGGCCCACUGCCUGCUCUUUCCACCCACAUAAAUGAAAAGGGAUAGCUCUCUUUGUUCUCUUACUACAAACACUGCAUUCAACUCUUACUACAUCGGAACACAGUGUCUGGGGUGACCUGAAUCUGUGUCCCCAAGCUGCAGCCACUCAUAUUUGGCCCAGAAUAAACUGUCGCACUCCUGAGGAUAUUAGUGAAGACAGAGGACUUGUGACCCUGAAAUUAACCCCUGGGUACCUCCCACCUGUGCACAGCACAUUCAUGGACUGUGUAGAAACAGGAGCUGUGUGACUUCAGCAAAGCCUCGGAAGCCAACUGUUGAACCCCUGUACCCUUCCAUCUAGAGGUCUUCCUGGUAAGGACUUCAGGACUCCAGGAGAGACUGCCCCCAAUCAAAUCCAAGAGCAGCAAGUAGGAAAGCCAGAGGCAGAAUCAAAGAAACCUGCUCCCUGAAGAUUUUUUGGGUCAGCUCCAAGAACUUUCCUUCUCCCUCUGCCAGCAGCACCCAUCAAUUCCCAUAGCAACCAGCCCACAGCUUUGCAACUUGUCCAAAAGGGAGGCGCACAGCAGCGGCAGCACACAAGAGGAAACCAGGCAGCAAUCUCAGCUAGGUGCUUUCACGCUCCAACAGUGCCUCCCUGCCUCCCAAUUCACACUACCAGACUGCUUUCCUCUGACCCCUCAGCCAGAAGCUGAGACAAAAUGGAGAUUCAAUCACAUAAAACAAGAUUCUGCUUUCCAGUGUGAUUUUAGAUCAGUCAGUAUGGCACUAAAGCAAUCAUGUCUCCUUGCUCACUCAGUGAAUCAAUGUACUCAAUUCGGGAGCCUCUAGAACUGACAUUAAUAUUGGGAUGACCUAGGAGUGACCAUCCAAGAACCUCAGAAGUGAUGAAUGUUUGCUGAAGUAGCUGGAGACAGCUGAGUCUUGUGAAGAGCAGGUCUCGAGAAGAACUGCAGGGGACCAGCACCAUGCGUGUCCCCAACAUACUUCCCAGGGACGCUGCAAUGAGGAGCACACGGCAUUAUGAUGACUUCCAAUAAGAGUAGUGGGUGUUAGCAGAAGUAGGGGAUACAUUAGUGAUAAUUAAAAGCUGUGAGCUGGAGAUGCAUGUUUAGUGAUUUAGUAUGUACCUCCUAUGCAAGAUUCCUGGUUCCAUCUCAGGACAACAGAAACAAAACAAUAGAGGAGUGCUGAGAGGAAAAAGAAUAACUAAGGAACCCAACAUGCUUAUCUAAAGAAUCACUGUGUUGAAAGAGAUUUUCUCUUCUCCCACACAAAAAUGACAAAAAUCAAACUAAAAGUUCCCAGCAUGGGCUAUAAAGCAAUUGUGCAAGUUUCACAUCUUCUUACGAAAGCUAACAGGCAAGGAAACCAAAGAGCAUGAUGGGAUCCCAUGUGCAUGCGGUGGUGGCACUUCUCACCGCCCACAAGAUCAGCAUUGGCUACAGCAGACUCCGGUAGCCCAACUAGAGUUCCAGCCCACACUCCUGCCCACUUCACAUUGCAACCAGGAUAUUCCGUGAUUUUCCACUGAAGACCCCAGAACACUGUGGUGGGGAGUGCCCAACUUUUACCUUAGACACUAGACUGACCCUAAAAGAAUAUUUCAUAUUACCAAAAGAACAGAAAUGGAACCCAAUACAUGAAGAAAGAAACUAUCUCUAUGUGAUCAGUAAAUCUUCUUAAACUAAACUUUUUUAAAAACAGAGAUGGGAAAUAUCGAAGGUAUAAAAAACAGUUGCCCAGGAGAUCAAAGCUUCUAAAAGAAAUCUAAAUUCCCAUGUAAACGUGCUACAAUUCUAGUACAACUAAGAAGAUAUUCUUACAGAAUAUUCAAAAGCUAAUUCUACAGCUUCUGUGGGAAAAUCAUGAAGAAUAAUUGGGCUAAUUAUAGAAAAGAAGAUUAAUGAGAAGGGCUAGCCUCAACGCUUGCCAGCUAGUGAAAGUGUGGUGAACCUAUAAUAACUAAGAAGGAGUAAAACUGGUUUCUGAGUCAAUGGAUACACCAAAAAUCCCAAAAACACUUGAGGGAAUUUCAUGUAAGAUAAAAUGUGACACUUACAAUAAAUCAGUGUCUCAACCAUAGUAAUGGAGUAGCUAGAUAAUCAGGGGAGAACAAAGGAGGGGCUGCUCAGCCAAAUAAAACACAGUAACAAGAUGCUUACACGUCAACAGAAACCACCAGUCUUCAAAGAAAGCAAAAUGUAUUUUUCAUAAUCUUAGAGAGCCCACAUUUCUUCUAACAGGACAUAAAAAUCUAAUAUCAAGGAACUUGAAAAAUGUACAGAUGGCAAAAGUUACCAUAAAUGGCAAAAUAUAAACCAUGUAAGAAGGUGAAAA